rnacentral:rRNA from 1 species
GACAGAGGGUGCAAACGUUGUUCGGAAUUACUGGGCGUAAAGCGCGUGUAGGCGGCCCAGCAAGUCGGAUGUGAAAGCCCUGGGCUUAACCUAGGAAGUGCAUUCGAAACUGCUGGGCUUGAGUUCUGGAGAGGAAGGCGGAAUUCUCGGUGUAGAGGUGAAAUUCGUAGAUAUCGAGAGGAACACCGGUGGCGAAGGCGGCCUUCUGGACAGUGGACUGACGCUGAGACGCGAAAAGCGUGGGGGAGCAAACAGG